GAUGAAGAACGUAGCGAAAUGCGAUAAGUAAUGUGAAUUGCAGAAUUCAAUGAAUCAUCGAAUCUUUGAACGCACAUUGCGCCCCUUGGUAUUCCGAGGGGCAUGCCUGUUCGAGCGUCAUUAUAACCCCUCAAGCUCAGCUUGGUGUUGGGGCCUGCUGCACUGGCAGCCCUUAAAAUCAGUGGCGGCGCCAUCUGGCUCUAAGCGUAGUAAUUCUUCUCGCUAUGGAGUCCUGGUGGAUGCUUGCCAUCAACCCCCAAUUUUUCUAUGGUUGACCUCGGAUCAGGUAGGGAUACCCGCUGAACUUAAGCAUAUCAAUAAGCGGAGGA
rnacentral:misc_RNA from 1 species